rnacentral:lncRNA from 1 species
CAAACACCCGGCUCUCCUCUCCACCAGGCUCCCACGCCCACCACACAGCCUGUAGCCCCGGCGGAGCUAUGGGCUCUGACUCCGCCUCUUUCCAAAUCCGGAGUAGUUCGUGCCACAGUCGUCCUCGGAACCCUGUGGCCCCUUCCUCACCCGUUUCAGGGCCACUUGGUUCCCACCUCCACCUUCUUAGUCUGCCUGCCCUGCUUUCCAUCUUCUUGGAAUUCGCCUUGCUGCCGCCCCGCGCCCACCCCCGCGCCCACCCCUGCCCCUGCACCGUCCCAUGCCCUUAUGGAUUUAUUCUUUACACGUAAAUAUGUCUUUCCUCUUUUUGAAAGGAUUUGGAGUUGGAACAGAGAAAUUCACUAUGGAUGAUGCUAUAUCUUUAUAUGACCUUUGGAAUAUCUGUAAUCAUCCUGAGGGCAAUACUUAUGUAAUGAAGAUGGAAGAAGAGAGAAUAUGAAUACUCCGUGCACUUUGAUCUUAUCGUUUAGCUGCUGAUCAUACCAUCCCUGGAGUCCUACUUCUGACUCCAAGUUAUGAGGAUGUCCCAGUGUUCUCACGUUCCACCUUCAAUCACACUUAACCAAUGUUAAAUCCCUGUGUCAACUUCUAUGUCCAGUAGUGACCUAAGGAAAAGAGUUGGAGGAUUCUGACCAUAUCUCUUUAACUGUGAUGAGUGCACAGACCAAGACUGAUCAAUUGUGUGAGUGUGAUCCCAUCACUGAUCAUUAAUAUGAAACUCUCUUACAUUUUAACUCAUGUAUCCUCAGGACCAAUAAUAUCACAUGGGCUUGGGGAACAGGAAAUGGGACGUGAUAUACGUAAUGAAUUUUGAACAAAUCUACUGCAGUAUAAACAUCUGUCCUUUAUCCAAACAGAAUACAGGUUUAAACUCUGUCUGAAUACUAAGAACUUUUGAACAGCCAUACAUUAAAUUUUUCACUAACGGUUUUAAAUCAGUGACAAACUCCCUUUGGGGUACCUGUUGGCCCAUUGCCAAAAUAACAUAUCAGUGGUUUCCGAUAUAAUGGCUAUGAGAGUUAUCCAGAGCGGGGAGGCCGAUAACAACCAUUUAUCA